UGACGCGGGAGUUUAUUACCUCAAGAUUCAUGAACGGUUUUUCGUCGACUUAUCUUUGAUUUAUUUUAAGGAAAAGACUCUGAUGGAUAAAAGAUGGAUAUUUUUUUCCUGGAGAAGCUAAAACAAUGUAACUUUGAGGUUCUGAUACCAGCUUUUACAAAGUUAUUUACAGAGUUCUCAAGACUUCUCUGUGUUAUUCCGUGGACAUGCCGAAAAGCUAUUUGAAACUUGGGAACUGCAUUUUACAGACAGAAUCCUGCAACUUCCCAGCCAAGAACCAGGAGCAUCAACAAAUCACCUCCAG